AUCCUGAACCUGCUGAGCCCAAGCUGGUGGGACAGAUGGACACAGUGACACAGAUUUCUUGUGCGUAGCUCUCCUCUGCUACUGCCCCCCGCGGCCCGGCAUCAGAGGACCUGGGAUCGCCCCGGGAGCACGCGAGGACCUCCUCGCUGUGGGACAGGCCAAUGCCUCAGCCUCCUGAGCCUCAGUUGUUUCUUCUGUAAAAUGGGAAUAACAACAUUCACACCAAUUCUUCUUCCUUCAAGAGAUGAUGCUGGAGAUCAAAUGAGGCAAAAGGUGGAAAAGUCAAUUAUAAAGCACUUUCAAAUACAAGCUCACGGUGUGGCACACUUGGAAACAGUGAUCUUCCUGCUAUCUCCCCUGUAUGGCCUGCACCCCAUCAGGAAGACCCUUUGCCAGGCAGCUGUGCGAGGUUUACGAGUGCAGUGAGUGCAGGAGCGGUCACUGGGGUGGCAGAAGAAACUCUGGGCCCGCUCACCACUCGUCGGCUGGAGGGGUCCUUCCAGAGCCCGAAGAUUCCCUCCCCAGAUUUUCCUUAUGAGGCAAGCGGGCAAGCUGGCACUGGCACUGGCUGGGCAGCCCCAGGAGAUGGGGCUGGAGAGGCUCCAUCACUACUAUGGGUUCAGACCUCACCCUGAAACCCAUUAAACCCAUGUCUUGUAAGCCCUACAGGUGGUGUCAAGAGGAAUUUUCAGGGCACUGACAGGCUUCUCCAAAGGGAGAGGCUCUAGCUGGGUCUGUGCACUACUCUGCAGGAAGAAGCAGUGUUUAGGGGCAGCAGGAUCUGGGGCAUCAGGAGAACCAGCGCCUCUGGUCCUCACGUGCUGUCCACCUUGGGCGAUCCCCUCCCUUCACUGGGCACAGCUGGCAGGAGAAAUUUCUAGAAGUGGACUUUCUGGAUGCAAAAGGCUUUUGCGACGAAGCUGACAAGUUGCCUUCAGAAAACUUAUUCUCCCACCUCUGCUUUUAAAUACAUAUUUCUGCUUCACAUCUCCCCUUCCUCAACGAACAUUAUACAACAGGCAUUUCUUAAGUUCUUAACCUCACUGGCAACAUUAUUUUAAUAGUAGUAUUCUGUCAGCCACCAACCCUCCUUGGAGCCUUCACAGUUCCUUCUGUUUCCUGGGAUAACCCCCAAAUUCCCAACUUCCAGACCAAGUAGCUUCAUUUGACAAUGGGGAGCCUCCCCUGGGGGUUCCAGCUUCUAAAGUCAAAAUAAAACGGUUAACUCAGCCCAAUCCUGUUCACUCCGUGCAGCGGGAAGGUCGCCAGGAGGCACCAUGAAAUGGAAAUCAUUCUAAGUUUUCUGCCGUGUAUUUUUUCUACACGGUGGAGAAGAUCCAUUUGUGUUUUAAACAAAAACGCCCCCUUCUUGUCAUCUUCUCUCAGUCAAAAAGGUAUCAUCUUUUCCCCCAACAGGUAUUUGCUUGGCAAGAAACUCCUCAUUCAGAAACCCUUCCAGCAAGGGGAUAAAUUUUUCUAAGGCAGCGAGUGACUACACACACAUCUGCAUUGACAAGUCACAACUUAUAGCCUUCUAUGGUGUUUCUGCGCUUUUGAAAAUGUUAAUAAAAACUUAAUGUGGAAAAAAACCAACUUUUUCCAAAUAUGUGUACCAAUAAGCCCAAGGCAACUCAUACUUUCUUAUAAAAUAAAGUAGGUCACUCACAUCAAUCAUGUUGUCUUAGCACAUUUUUUCCAAAUUAGGAAUUCUCAAUCCAUCAGACCCGGUUAUGGCAUCUCUUUUCCAAACAUUUCCUUUUAAUAUGCUCUUUAACAUGAUAAGCAAAUCUAAUAGAAUACAUUAGUGUCACUUUUCCGUGAUGGAGUGUUUCCUCCUGUUGUGACCCACGAUGCGUUCAGGGAAAGAUUUUUACUGGUUCCCCCUGGAACAGCGAUUGUUUAUGGCACAUGUGCCAAUGGCCCUAAAGCUGCCAAGGCUACACUUGGGUGCUGACCUUAGAAAGACCCCAGGACUCUGACCUCACCUCUCCAGGGAUCAUAGAUGUAGAAAAGUCAAAAGACGUGUGUUUCCCAAAGCAAAAUAAUAAAUCCAGAUUCUGUACGUGAGGAGUGUUUAAAUUGAGGCUGUCGAUACAGUAGAGUUGCUCAUGCACACGGACUAUCACAUACAGAUCAAAAGCUUGUACUGGGCUUCAUUUUAAAACCACAUUGCUUGCAGAACAUUUCCAAAUCUCCUGAAUCACGCAGCAAGGGAGGAUCCUUGGCUUCAGACACGUGGGAUGCUCCAAAACCAGUUACCAUCUUCUUGCAAGUGAAUUUGGACAUUGUAUGAGAUGCACGCUCUGUUUACAACCCACUGGAGAUAAAUAUAUUUGUAUGUUCAUAUAUUUGACAACAUUUACCUGGCAAAACCAGAGUCUUUGUUUCUACUCAUACCUCUGGUUCCUGGACUCGUGUGUUCAGUGUUAGCACUGGCCUUUCUUUCAUCUGGACAGAGUUUGGGAAUAAAACACUUGUGAAAGUUGGGGACUGGGAGAGGUUUGUGGAGCGCCCAGGAAUUCAGUUGUUUCAGACUUUUUGGCCACCCAGCAGGAAAACAUCUGAAUGGAAAAGGAAAAGUUUAGUUUGUCUUCUGGAUCUUUCGAAUGGAUACGUAAGGUCCUGCAGACACUGGUUUCGAUGGCCCAUCCUGUAAGUCACAUCACUUCUUCCUAAUGUCCUAGGAAACAAGAAAGUAACGUUAUGGCCUCUGAUCAGCCAUAGCUUCCUGACCCUGCCCCAUUGUUGCCCAGAGCUAAUGACUUGAGGCUCUGUGUGUCCAUCACAAAAAUGUGUGUGCUAGGGGCAGUGACGGACACAUAAAGUCAUAGCUCCUGCCCUUGAGAUGCUUGAGGUCAGGCUUGAUAUCAAGUAGAAUACAAUAAGGAAAAGAAAAAAAAAAUCCAGGGAGCUCAGAGGAGGGAGAGGUCAUUGCCAGGUAAGGGUGAGUGCAGAAAAAGAUUGAGAAGACGGUCUUCGAGCCGGGCCCUGACCAGUGAGUGGGCUUUGGAUCUGCACAGAUGGGGGAAGGGCAUUCUAGGUCAAAGGCACAGUGAGAGUAAGGGGCGGGGAGCAGGCGUGGGAAAGCAUGCAGGGAGCAGAGGCAUGACAAACAAUUGAGGACCAGCUGAACACAGGCUGCAGAAAGAGAAGCAUUAGAGGAAAUCAGGGAAGGGAGAUUGAUGCUAGUGUGUGAGAUGCCUUGAGUGCCAACAUAAGGAGAAAAGCCUCCAGGGAAUGCUCCCCCUCUGUACCCCCAAAAUUGUUCUGGUCACAUCACCACGUCUGCCUGGAAUAGGAAGAUUAUUAGGGUGAUCAUGUUUAUGUGGGUGCAUUUAAACCCCCUCAUCCUUUUGUCUCUUUAACCUUCUUCUCUACGUAGGCUAAUGCUAUGGCAAAUUUAAGUGUUUUCCAUUGCUGACGUUUGGAGCACCAUCCUGGAAAUUCCUGCUGGCCUCAAAACCAUUGCUUACAGAGAUUUAGGAUUCUUGCAAGUUCAGUGGUUUCUCUGAGUCGAUUAACAUUUGUAGAAGCUGCCCCUUUCCUUGUGGCCCAUGGACCCAGAGGGGACUAUGCAGUGCAAGACUUGAGGUGUUUCGGUAAACCCAUCACUUUGUUCACCACACAUUUAUUGAGCAACUACUACGUGUCUUAAUAUUGCUCCAUGUGCUGAGGACGAAGCGUGUAAACAGAACAGACAGGGUCCCUUGUCUUCAUGGGGUUUACUUUCUGGUGGGACAGACAGAAAGUUAUCGAGAUCAUUUCAAAGUUAUAAGGAAAACAAAGGAAAUAAGCUAAGCGACAUGAAAGAGUGACAGGAAGCAAGAAAAGGACGACCACGUCGGAGAAGAUGGACAGAGAAGGCCUGAAGGAGGGAGGCUGGGAAGAAGGCAGCUAGAGGAAUGGCUGAGGGAGAAACAUGGAGAACAGGGGAUGCAGCAAGUGCAAGUGUGGGGUGAGCUGGAAGAAGCUAGGAAAUGAGAGGGACAGGGAGCAGAUAGGGCUGGAGCAAGGCAGGAGCCCUUUUGGGAUUUGAGGUACCAUGGGAAGCUCCUGCAGGGUUUGAGGCGGGAAGUGACCAAGCUAUGAAUGUUCGAGCCACCAUGAGGCACCAUCUGCUCCGCCUCUCCGUUGCUGGCUUGCCCCGCAAAGUCAAAACGAGUGCUCGGAGUGCAUCAGCUUUUAUUUUUACAGCAAUCUUUGUACCCAAACCACCGUAGCAUUUUUAAUAACAAACUGGCAGGGAGUCAGACAUCUGUACUUGAAAAAAACAGCCCAAGCCAAGUAUUUCUAAAUGUUUUAUAUUUACUUGUAACAUUAGAAUAACCAUGAGGUUGCUUUUUGCAUAAUCGGAACCAUUCUCAUUAGGGUUCGACAGAUCUCAUCCUUCAUGGGCUUGGGUGGUGGUUUUCAUUAUGGCAGUGACAUUGAUCUGACGGGAGUGCAUCUCUCCUUGAACGUUUGUGGAUAAAAGAGGAAGAAGAUGAGAGAAGUCAGGGCAGGCCAGGAAAAUGAGAACUCUACAAAGAUAACCAUCAGCUUGGCAUUGGGGUGCCCUGAAAAGAGUCCAGCUUUCAAACUUCAGCAGAUCUGGGCUAGAAGUUCAGCUGGGUGACCUUGGGUGAGUCACUUAACCUCUCUGGGCUCCUGUCUACUCAUAGGCAGAAGGAGGAUGAUAAUAGAAACUACUUCAUGGAGUUGUGGUGCGGUCUUAAUGCAAUAACAUGGGUAAAGGGGCCUAGUACAAGGGUGUUUUCUGCUUGCCUUCCUCCAAAAUCAGCAUUUCACAUCCAAGAUUGAGACACUACCCUCCAUCCUUUUUCUAAAGUAGGCUCGCAAGAUUUAUCAAGCAAAAAUACAGUAUAUCCAGUUCAAUUUGGAUUUCAGAUAAACAACAAAUACUUAUUUUCCAUAAAUGUGUCCCAUGUAAUAUUUGGGACACACUUAGAGCAAUCAAGGAAUCCUUUAUCUGGAAACACUGUUCUAAAGGUUUACUGAUCCCAGGAGUUCCCUGGUGGCCUAGUGAUUAAGGACUGGGCAUUGUCACUGCUGUGGCUCAGGUCACUGAUAUGGAGUGGGUUUGAUCUCUGACCUGGGAAUUUCCGCAUGGCGUGGGCAUGGACAAAAAAAAGAAAAGAAAAAAGAAAGAAAAAAGAAAAAGAAAAAAAGGUUUAAUAAUCCUAAGAAAGAGGGGUUUUGAGGCCCAGUCUGGUCUUGUAUUCUACCUGGUCACCUGGUUCAGAGACAGCUGAUAUCCUUGUAAAGACUGUCUUUCUUGCUCACUGAAUCUACAGUGCCUAGAACAGAACCUGGCCUAUAUUAGGUGCUCAAUAAAAAUGUAUUGCAUGAGCAACUAAAAAACUGUAAGACUUCAUUAAAGUCAAUCAGAUUUGGGAAGUGCAUAUAAAUAUAUUUUAAAUAAGCCUUAUAAAUCAUGCAUCCCCUAUACCUGAGGUCAAAACGAAGACAGAGCCAUUGACCACCCCAGCCCUCACUCCCCACCCCCAGAAUCCACCUGGAAUCAAAAAGGAGGGCAGCCAUCAUGUUCUCACUGCCUAUUAGCCACCUGCAACCCCUGCCCUGAACUCAAUUCCACCCACCCCCCAACCCCCCCCGCAAAAAACAUGGGUUGCAAGAAUAUUUCAUAUCAACUCAUUUCAUACUUCAUUAUUUUAUUAAAAAAAAAGAUAAACUUCCACAUUCAGAGUCCACUUUUUUCUCCCCCUUCCUUCUGGCAAACAGGAGACAUCUGGGCUGGGAGGUGGGGGAAUGGCGGGGUCUCAGGUUGGGAGAAGCUGCGGGUGUGGGGAAUAGAAGUCAGGUGUGGCCCCUUCUGAGCUUCCCAGCCUGGCAAACGUCUACAUUUCUCGGGAAGUUGUGAGCACAGAGGAUUUCCCCAGGAAUCCAGGCUGGGCUUGUAAAGAAAUGAUCCCAACAUCAAGAAAAGAAACCGGCCAGUAAAAUCCUAGUUAGUUCAUUUUCUAAGACUUCUGAAUGUGUUUUGAAUUUUCUCUAAAUUAAGAUAAUCAUAAAAGGUUAAGAUAUUUAAACAGAGCUCCACCUGAUCCCGGGGCUUGAUGUGUAUGCUUAAUUAGUUCCCGAACAUAUGGUUCAGAGCUUCUUAUAAAAACAGGGUAAUGAUCGAGGUAUAUUUGGGUAUUAGAUUGAACGAUGUUAAAGGGACAUUCAGACCCAUCUCAAAGGCCCUAACCUGCCCUUGAUCUGUGCUGGAAGCUUUUGCUGACAUCUGUUUCAAAGAGAUAUCAAAAAACUUUCCAGUGGCCUCAUGAUAAAACAAAAAUCCACACGGAGAUAGAUAUCAGGCAUUAAAAUACUUAGGAUUCGACAUCGCGGGAGGAAUGUGUGGCCCCAGAAUGUAACAGUCGGGGAGGGGGGCGGGCGGGGGGGUUAGUCGAGGAGGGCGGCUCUGAGAAUCAUGAUGCCGGGGCUCCAUACGGAGAGGGAGCAGCUGGGUCACAAAUGUCCCCAGGGCCCUUUGUUCUCUCGUGUGUUUCAGCCCCUGAUAAUAAACCAGGUGCUCCCGUGCGAGGAACAUAACUCAGGUCGCCAGGAGUCCCUUCCACAGCUCCCAGGCAACCCCACUCUUCCCUGACCCCACGCCGGGAAAGCGCUGGUGGCGACGCCCCCGCGAGGAGCGAGGGAGGCACAGACUCAACGCGCGUCCGCUCGGGUUGCGUGCCCAGCCCCACCCCUAACCCUGGUCCCCAGAGAAGGUAACGCGAGAGUUCCUCUGCAGCACACAGCGGCCCCUCCCCAACCUCCAAUCAGAUUGCUGCUCCUAACCCCUUUCUGCGUGAGCGCCCUGGAUCCUGUCUAUUUGUGAAAAUUGGGGCCGUAAAACAGGCUCCGGAGGGGAUCAGACUCAUCUCUUCAGCUUUAGUGCACCUCACUCUACCCGAAUUCAUUUAUUCGUUCCUACUGUCGCCCAUCCUUUCAACAAGUACUCAACCAAGCACCGAUCGUGGGCGGGGCCGGGGGACUAGGGAGUCAUCGAGGACUUUGAACAGGGCUGGAAGAUCCACUGGGCAGCUGGGAGCAGAAGCAGCCGGAGCAGGACGAUGAAAGAAGGGCGGAUGGCUGUCCCUCAAAAUUCGUUAAAUCCAACCCGGGCUAUGAGCCAGAGAGAAAAGAGAACGAGGGUCCAAGAAAGUGGGAGUUAGAGUCCCGUCAUGCAGAAGGCAGAGAAAAGGCUCCAAGAACCACUGUAGGCUGUGCUUCUAAAGAGCUGGCUCUGAUUCCUCCCAAAGUCAGCUGAGACCUCAGCAUCCAUGACACUACAGUUUAGAGUGAAUACAACGAGCCAGGCACUUUCACAUAUAUCUCUUCAUGUAAUUCUCAUAGCAACCCUUCGACGUAUCUCAUCUUAUCACCCCUCUUUUACAGAUGAGCAAACAGAGGCUCACAGUGGUUCAAGAACUUGGCAAUGGCUGCACAGGGAAUAAAUGGCUUAGGCUGGAAUGUGAACAGGUCUUCCCACCCAGAGCCUGGAUUCCUGACCAUGACCUCCCACCACCCCCUCAGGUCUUCCACGCCACUCAGAAGGCCAGGAUGUGUGGCUCUCUUUGCCCAUCAAAGUGUGUCUGCCUAGCUGCCCUCGGCCUGCAAACCUCUCCCCGGUCUGGCCCAAAGUCACCUUUUUCCUUUGUUACCUCCCCCUGUGUCCCUCAGCGGGGGCGGGGGGUGGAGGUGGGGGGAAUCCAUAGCCCAGCAGGCAGGAGGCCAGAUCCAGACUGUGAUAUUGUGAGACUGCGUCCCUGUGCACUGGAGUUACAGCCUGGGGCAGCCCAGCGGGGGACCUCAAAGCUCAGGCCAAGCUCCAAGGGACUGAGAUCAAAGCCAGCGGGGGGUGGCAGAGCAACAAAGAACAGAAAUGAGCAAGGGCAAGCGAAUCUGGUCCCAUAUCAUUCCUGUGGCUGCAUUGUAGGGCUGAGACUUCUUUGAAGGUCUGGAACAACCCCCACCCCCACCCCCACCCCGCCCCAUCCCUGGAUGCAAGGCUCCCCGGGUUCCCUUUCAGGGGCUGGGGGCCCAAUAAAAUGGGGGCUGAGAAAGUUGUCUGUGGGUAAAUGAGGGUUCAGCCUGGUCUCAGUGACCUCUCCUUCAACUCUGUUGCCGGCAACACCUCAGGGACCCCCACACCCACGUUCCUGGGCAUAGCUGUUUUCAUUUUCCUGCACAGAAAAUGGGUGUGGCUCCCUGGUGUUUGGGUCUGUGACGCUUUUUUGUGGCUCUGGGCACAGCACCAUACAGACUGGGGGAUUUCCAGGAAUCCUGGGGACCAGCCUGAUGGAGCGACCCAUCCUUCGUAUAGUCCUAGGUCCAUGAAAGUGCUCAAAAGGAACAUUCAGUGAGAGCUAAAGGGGUCCACAGCGUAGGAAGAGCACUGGCCAGGGGAGUUCAGACCCAAAGUCCUAUCCUGGCUUUGCCACUGACUUCCCAAACAAGUCAUGUCCCCUCAGUUUCCCCAUCUGUGACACUAAAGAGAAGCUGACUCUCCUAAGGUUUCCACAUGCUUCCACAUCUUCUCCUGUGGCCCCUGUUCUGGGUCAUCUCCUAUGAGAGGCCCUUCCUGACCACUCAGGCUACAGCAGCCCCCUCCCCUCUCCAGACAACUUUUACUAUGUCAACUUCAUUGUCUCCGCUUGACUUUUUCCUUUUGGAUUUUUUUCUUUUUUCUUUCUUUU